rnacentral:rRNA from 1 species
UGUUACAAUGGGGGGUACGGAGGGCCGCUACCACGCGAGUGGAUGCCAAUCCCCAAAACCUCUCUCAGUUCGGACUGGAGUCUGCAACCCGACUCCACGAAGCUGGAUUCGCUAGUAAUCGCGCAUCAGCCACGGCGCGGUGAAUACGUUCCCGGGCCUUGUACACACCGCCCGUCAAGCCAUGGGAGCCGGGGGUACCUGAAGUGCGUAACCGCGAGGAGCGCCCUAGGGUAAAACUGGUGACUGGGGCUAAGUCGUAACAAGGUAUC